AUAGAACCACUUGAGAGAAAAUUAGACACAAAGCUAUAAGUACAUAUGAAAAUGAUGAGGUCUUAGAGAACAUUAGCGGACAUCUGUUACGUCCCCACUGGUUUUGAAUCCAAUUAGUUGUGAUGGCUGUAGCCAGUUGGUUGGGUUGAAGAGAUAACCGUUCGGAUUCAAAUUCCAAUGAGAGGAAGCCUUUUGCAUGUUUUGAUCUGUCUCAAUUUCAGAGAUCACAGAGGCCACCAACGAAGAAAAGCACCCGAGUUUUCCUAGAAACGGUGACGAAAGAGUGUCGGGUCAGAUCGGGUCGGGUCAGAAUCAGGGCCGAUCUGUCUUACAAUCUUCCUUCCCCCUUUUCUAUCUUUGUCGUGUUUUUAUAAUCGAAUCCACUCUCAAAGACUCCCAAAAGUGGUUAAAGCAAAGUGCUCUGUUCUUUCCCUCUCUGAAAGAAAGGAAUUUUCUUUUUCCUGCGAUUCCACGAAGAAAAAAAAGAGUUGACAUGCACGCUGGCUCCUCUUUUAACCACCGCUACGUCAAGUCCAACCCUCGCGAAGUAGAGAACGCUACUUGGAUGCUUACUAUGUUUCAAUGUUUUGGGGAAUACUUCUUCUGCCUCCAUUUCGAGGCGUUCCAGCUCGGGAUGGGUCCGGUGUCCAUGGCGUUCCUGAGGAAGAAGCGAGGAGUUAUAGCUACAGUUUAGAAGUGGGAGGGGUAGUGGGAGGAAGCUAACAUGGGAAGGAACACCAAGAAGCAUCAGAGAUAGCCACAGGAAAGUAAGAGACAGCAACGACAGGUCUCAUCAUCCAAAGAAACAUGGCUUUCUUCUUCAUGAUAUCAUUCUUUCUUCUUCUUUUUGUUUCCCUCUUUGAGAAGUUCAAUGUAUGUAUGUAAAAACAUUUCUUGAUUGAAUUGUGUUUGAUGAUAUCAAAGUUAUAAUAUUCAUUUGUUGGGUAGUCUUGA